UUCGUAGGGGGCAAGCGUUGUCCGGAUUUAUUGGGCGUAAAGAGCGUGUAGGCGGCUAUAUCGGUCCGCUGUGAAAACUCGAGGCUCAACCUCGAGACGUCGGUGGAAACCGUAUGGCUAGAGUCCGGAAGAGGAGAGUGGAAUUCCUGGUGUAGCGGUGAAAUGCGUAGAUAUCAGGAGGAACACCUGCGGUGUAGACGGCUUACUGGACCAUCACUGACGCUGAGGCACGAAAGCGUGGGUAGCAAACAGG
rnacentral:rRNA from 1 species